GUGUCAGCUGGUCGUUGGAGGUGGACGAGUCGCAGUUCUUAGUAGUUCCUUUGGUGCGUCGGGAGCACCACCGAUUGUCAAUUCCGUGAUUGAUCGAAGACGAGGAUGCGAGUAACCGUCGUGUGGCAGAGCGCGGUCGCCUUCGGCCUGCUGGCCCUCCUGGCUGGCCGCGGGAAUGGCUUCGUGUCCUCGCUGCCGGAGGCGGGAGAGAGGCUCCUCGCGCUGCGGGAGAAGCUGGUGAAAUUCGUAGAGGGAGACAAGAGACAAGAGACGAGCCGGGAAGGGAGCACUGGUGCCUUCUCUAAGAUGUGGUAAGGCUUUCAUGUGUAGUUAAGUAUGAAAGAGAAUGAACGAUCACAAGA
rnacentral:lncRNA from 1 species